CCAGUUCUUGCUCUGGCUUCCUUUUGGAGAUGGAGGGCAGUAGAUCGGCAAUUCAUUCUCUUUAGGUGAAUUAUCUUUAGAUGAAUCACCCCUUUGAUCUUCUUGAAAAGACCUCAGAGAUCGUCUAAUUUUACCUCUUAUUUUGCAAAUAAGGAAACUGAGGCUAAGAGAGAUAGAAAAGCUUUGUUUGCCAGUCUUCCCUUCAGCAUCUCAACAAGACUUUGCCAAGGGGCCCGCUUGGGGCAUGGCACAAAACCCCCUUCCCACUGUCAAUAUCUCCCCUCCAGUCUCCUUCCCUGCCGUGGCCAGGCCACGUGGAAACUCAUGCCAAAGAGCGUCAACCGGGAAUGUGUCUUCUUUCUUGAAAUACGUUAUGGAUCAGCAGGCAGCCCCCUCAAGACCCCAGCAAUGAAGCUCGCUUGUAGCCCGGCACACAGUAACCCAGAAACAUAUGUGGCUAGAAUUCUCCCAUAAAGACCAUUUGCACAUCAACUAUUUGGCUACCUGAAAAGGAGCUUUUCAGCCACUGAGAAUUCAGAGCCUUUAAUGAUUCUGGAGACCUCUUAG
rnacentral:lncRNA from 10 species